rnacentral:rRNA from 1 species
AGUAAAAGUCGUAACAAGGUCUCCGUUGGUGAACCAGCGGAGGGAUCAUUGUUGGA